GAUGAACGCUGGCGGCGUGCCUAAUACUUGCAAGUCGAGCGAACAGACGAGGAGCUUGCUCCUCUGACGUUAGCGGCGGACGGGUGAGUAACACGUGGAUAACCUACCUAUAAGACUGGGAUAACUUCGGGAAACCGGAGCUAAUACCGGAUAAUAUAUUGAACCGCAUGGUUCAAUAGUGAAAGACGGUUUUGCUGUCACUUAUAGAUGGAUCCGCGCCGCAUUAGCUAGUUGGUAAGGUAACGGCUUACCAAGGCAACGAUGCGUAGCCGACCUGAGAGGGUGUUCGGCCCCCCUGGACCUGAGACACGUUCCGGCCUCCUCCGGGAGGCAGCAGUAGGGAUUCUUCCGCAAUGGGCGAAAGCCUGACGGAGCAACGCCGCGGGAGUGAUGAAGGUCUUCGGUUCGUAAACUCUGUUAUUAGGGAAGAACAAAUGUGUAAGUAACUAUGCACGUCUUGACGGUACCUAAUCAGAAAGCCACGGCUAACUACGUG
rnacentral:rRNA from 1 species